UGUCGGUACAAUGCAGAAUUAAAUGUCAGCCACUUAACAGUACAACGCCUGACGGGCAUCGACAUAUUCACAAUUAUAACUCAUGUAACAGGUUAGUACCGGCACAACAACGUUGACUUAUCCAUGCGUCGGUAACAUACGAGAUCACAUUUCCAACUAUUGCCCAUAUUACAAAAGUAUCGAAAUUUACUAUUAAAGAAACGGCUAUAAUAGCAUUGUUACUUGAUGAGAAAGAAGACAGUAGAAAAAGAGGAGAAAAUACUGAGUGUAUAGAAGUCUGGGAUUAAGAAAGAACGAAGGUGAAUUUCAUACACUACAUAUAUAUAUAUAUAAAUAUUUCUAUGUAAAUAAUAUGAAUUUGUCUAUGUUGGUCUGAAAUACGAUCGAAUAUAUAGGUUGGACAUUCCAGGGGGAGGGUAAGAGUUAGGGUUAGGGUUAGGAUUAGGUUUAGGUUUAGGUUUAGGUUUAGGUUUCAACAAAACUCUUGACAAAGCAAUCUCGGGAAUUGUGCUUUACAAGUCGCUUUUACAAACAGACACUAGAGAACGCUGCGAUCGAGAAGUUAACGCCAUCCUUCGAUGAAAUUGUUGAACAUAAAAAGAAUAAACUAAAUUGAGAUUAUUCAAUGUAAAGUAAACUGAAUACAAUUACAAUGUAAAGUGGCUAAAAUAAACUACUCUUCAAAGUUUUU